AGAGUUUGAUCAUGGCUCAGGAUAAACGCUGGCGGCGUGCCUAAAACAUGCAAGUCGAACGGCACCUUCGGGUGUAGUGGCGGACGGCUGAGUAACACGUGGGUGACCUGCCUUCGAGCGGGGGAUAACUGCCCGAAAGGGUGGCUAAUACCGCAGACAUCGUUCCUUCGUUGGGGCGAUUGAACCUCCGGGGUUCGAAGAGGGGCCCGCGGUCGAUUAGCUGGUUGGUGGGGUAACGGCCUACCAAGGCUUCGAUCGAUAGCUGGUCUGAGAGGAUGAUCAGCCAGACUGGGACUGCGAACGGCCCAGACUCCUACGGGAGGCAGCAGUUAGGAAUUUUGGGCAAUGGGCGAAAGCCUGACCCAGCAACGCCGCGUGGGUGAUGAAGGCCCUCGGGUCGUAAAGCCCUUUUCCCAGGGACGAUGGUGACGGUACCUGGGGAAUCAGCCCCGGCUAACUACGUGCCAGCAGCCGCGGUAAUAC
rnacentral:rRNA from 1 species